GAAAUAUAAACACCUGCAAUCAACACCACACCCGUCACGAUUGUACAUAAUAGCCAACUACUUCAGGUGACACAUGGUCAAGUAAAAUAGAAGACAAGGAGAUUCUUCGUCCGCCGAAUAAUUUUCAAGUGUGCAGUUAUUUCGAAAGUUUAAGCCAUUCUAAUCAACCAUGAAAAGCGCAUAUAAAUAUCCAGAUGGGAGCGAGUACAAUGGGGAGUGGUCGGACAAUGGACAGCGUGAAGGAUACGGUCACAUGAAAUUUCCAGAUGGUGCACAGUACUAUGGGAAGUUUGUGAACGGACUAUGUGAGGGACUCGGUGUCAUGGUGUUUUCUGAUAAUUCAAGGUUUGAAGGAGAGUUUCAGCAAGGGAAGUUCAGUGGAUUGGGAGCGUUCUUCAGGUGUGAUGGGAUGAAAUUUGAAGGUGAAUUUCAAGACGGCAAGAUCCGUGGUCAAGGUAUUGUGACCUUUCCUGAUGGAACACACGGCAUCCCAAGAAAUGAGGGUCAGUUUGAUGGAAACAAAAUGGUGCGACGAGAAAAAUGUUUGGCAACUAUUCAGAAAGCGAGACAAGUUGCUAAUCAUGCUAAAAGUCAGAGUCAAUAAGGAUGCUGCAUUUGGCAAACAAUGUUCCAUUAUGGUGCUUAAUCUUGAAUGCCAAGGUUAAAAAAGUUAUUUUCAACGAAUUCCAUGUACAAACUAAAAACUUAUCCAACGAUCAGAUUCAUUUAAAUACAUGUAUUACUCGUAAUAUCAGAGUAUGAAGUAACAUGGAAGCAACCUACAUGUACAUCAUUUCCCAUUUUUUACAGGACAAUGUAGAUUGUCUCCCUUUUAUAUGUUGUUCUUAGAUCAAACUCAAAACCAAGCAUAAUACUAUUUAUGUUUAAAUAUAUAUCCUUUAUGGAAAUGAACAAAUUUUGUACUUGACAAAUGAAUUAGUGGAAAUAUUGUGUUAGAAAGUGUAGUAACAAUUUUGGUGAAAUACUAUAUUGUCUGGUGGUAUGUAUGUAGAAACAUAUAUUCAACUAAAUUCUGCACUUAAAAAUAUAUAUGUUCCCAAGGAAAAGAGAGAGGAAGAGAGAAAUAGAGAGAGAGGGAGAUGUAAUACACAAGGUUAUACAUUAAUAUAUAUAUCAUAUCUUCUAAGAUUUUAUAUACUAUAAACAUUCCACAUCAGUUACAAUGUUUUGACAUAAAUGAGGAUCUCCCUAUUAUCGUCAAGCUCAAUAUAUGUAUAAUUUGUCGUUUUCAAUAGAGUUUACAGGUUCAAAACAAUUGUCGCUAACAUGAAACAAAAGCAGAUCUUUCUUUAUUGAAAAACAAUAACAAUAUGUUGUUUUCGAAAUACUUUCGGGAUUCGAUUAACAAAAACAUUGGUGUGCAGUUCCAAACUGCCCGUCUAAUGACAGUGCACCAAUCAGUAGAUAUCCCUUUCAUGAGGAUGUAAAAUUUCAGCCAUUGUUUUUCUUUGGAGAUAUCCUUACUUCAUUGCCUAUCGCACUCAGAUAUUCUGAUGUCAGUGUUUGUCAAUAAUGUUAAGAUAUCGGAACACCUUUUCUUGUCUUGUUGAGAUAUCCUGAUUUCAUUUGAUUGUUAAGUUUAGAUAUCCUGAUGUCAUUUGAUAUCAGGUGGAGAUAUCCUGAUGUCAUUUGAUAUCGGGUGGAAAUAUCCUGAUGUCAUUUGAUAUCGGGUGGAGAUAUCCUGAUGUCGUUUGAUAUCAGGUGGAGAUAUCCUGAUGUCGUUUGAUAUCAGGUGGAGAUAUCCUGAUGCCAAUGGUUGUCAAGCUGAGUUAUCAUCAUCAAAGAGGUUGUCAAUUUGAAAAGUAAAAUGUCAUGAUUUUCAAAAGUUGAGAUAUCAGUAAUGUAUAUUAUAUAUGUUGUACAUUUUAAUGUUUUUGUUUGGAAUAUUUAAAAUUAUGUGAAAUGUUAUGUAAUGAUGUUACACAUUUUAUUUGUACAUUUUGCAGUUUACAAACAGUUUCACCAAAGUGUUUUUUUUAUACUACUACACAUGUAAUAAAAUCAGUGAGAAUGAU
rnacentral:misc_RNA from 1 species